rnacentral:sRNA from 1 species
GUACGGACACUUGGUAGAGCGUUCUGUAACGGAUUCUGUAACCCUUCUAGGUUGUGUUUCUUGAUG